rnacentral:rRNA from 1 species
UGGGGAAUAUUGCGCAAUGGGGGAAACCCUGACGCAGCGACGCCGCGUGGGUGAUGAAGGCCUUCGGGUCGUAAACCACUGUCGCGAGGGAAGAAGAUCUGACGGUACCUCGCGAAUAAGCCACGGCUAACUACGUGCCAGCAGCCGCGGUAAUACGUAGGUGGCAAGCGUUGUCCGGAUUUACUGGGCGUAAAGAGCCCGCAGGCGGUCCAAUAAGUUCUUGGUGAAAUCUCCUGGCUCAACUGGGAGGGUGCCUGGAAAACUGUUGGACUUGAGGCAGGGAGAGGGAUGUGGAAUUCCCGGUGUAGUGGUGAAAUGCGUAGAUAUCGGGAGGAACACCAGUGGCGAAGGCGGCAUCCUGGCCCUGUCCUGACGCUCAGGGGCGAAAGCGUGGGGAGCAAACCGGAUUAGAUACCCGAGUAGUCCCUGAGCGGGCUGGCAAGGCGCAU